UAGAGGAAGUAAAAGUCGUAACAAGGUCUCCGUUGGUGAACCAGCGGAGGGAUCAUUACUGAGUUUACGCUCUACAACCCUUUGUGAACAUACCUACAACUGUUGCUUCGGCGGGUAGGGUCCCCGUGACCCUCCCGGCCUCCCGCCCCCCCGGGCGGGUCGGCGCCCGCCGGAGGAUAACCAAACUCUGAUUUAACGACGUUUCUUCUGAGUGGUACAAGCAAAUAAUCAAAACUUUUAACAACGGAUCUCUUGGUUCUGGCAUCGAUGAAGAACGCAGCGAAAUGCGAUAAGUAAUGUGAAUUGCAGAAUUCAGUGAAUCAUCGAAUCUUUGAACGCACAUUGCGCCCGCCAGCAUUCUGGCGGGCAUGCCUGUUCGAGCGUCAUUUCAACCCUCAAGCUCUGCUUGGUGUUGGGGCCCUACAGCUGAUGUAGGCCCUCAAAGGUAGUGGCGGACCCUCCCGGAGCCUCCUUUGCGUAGUAACUUUACGUCUCGCACUGGGAUCCGGAGGGACUCUUGCCGUAAAACCCCCCAAUUUUCCAAAGGUUGACCUCGGAUCAGGUAGGAAUACCCGCUGAACUUAAGCAUAUCAAUA
rnacentral:rRNA from 1 species